CGAAAGGAAGAUUAAUACCGCAUAAGAUUGUAGUAUCGCAUGAUAUAGCAAUUAAAGGAGCAAUUCGCUAUAAGAUGGACCCGCGUCGCAUUAGCUAGUUGGUGAGGUAAUGGCUCACCAAGGCGACGAUGCGUAGCCGACCUGAGAGGGUGAUCGGCCACAUUGGGACUGAGACACGGCCCAGACUCCUACGGGAGGCAGCCAUG
rnacentral:rRNA from 1 species